CCUUAUGGUAAUUUUCAUUGCAAUAGACGGGGUACAAAACCGUCAAUGAGAGACGGUGAGAAGACAGAGAGAUCGCCGGAAACGUGUGUUUCGACCCUUUUCUCCGACAAAAUGUUAUCGCCGCCAUUUACAAUUCUCUGAAGCGUCACUUUCCGAUAAAUGCAAACCCUUAAUUAUCACUCUCUUCUUUACAAGGAAGUGGACGUGCCGGAGUGGUUAUCGGGCAUGACUAGAAAUCAUGUGGGCUUUGCCCGCGCAGGAUGAUAAUAGAGGAGCUAUACUUUGGGUGAAAGAGUUUCAGGUCAUCAGUUGAAGUCAUGGUGGUGGCUCAUACUUAUGAUUGAUCGCCUUUGUGUUGCUAGAAUUACGGGAACUUUCCAAUACGAAGUGGACAUGCUGGAGUGGUUAUCGGGGAUGACUUGAAAUCUUGUGGGCUCUGCCAGCGCAGGUUCGAAUUGUGCCGUUCACGCUUCUUAGUUUGACACAGCCAUUUGAUUACUGAAUGAUUUGUGAUAGCUGACUCAAAUUUUAAUGUACUUUCUUUUCAUUCGGUCUCAAAUAUGAAUGAAAAUUGUUGAAGCAGUUUAGUGAUAGGCUGAUACUUGUGUUGUAUGGCUGGGGUGGUUGUUCGGGGUGGUAUGGAAGUGGGAGACAGAUGAAGCACAUUGUAUAAGUUAGAUUCCUCCCACUUCUAUCUUACUGAUUUGAAGUUUGUGUUUCUCUAUUUUACAGACUUCUCCUGCUCCUCAGACUUGUAAUACACUUGAAGAUCAUGGCUUGUAUGUUUUCUAGUGGGGGUAGAAGAUGCAUAUUGGCUGAUUUGGAUCUCAUACUAGUCAUAAUGGAACAUAUGUA